UUUUCCUACGGGAGGCAGCAGUGGGGAAUAUUGCACAAUGGGGGGAACCCUGAUGCAGCGACGCCGCGUGGGUGAAGGAGUAUUUCGGUAUGUAAAGCCCUCUCAGCAGGGAAGAACAAUGACGGUACCUGACUAAGAAGCACCGGCUAAAUACGUGCCAGCAGCCGCGGUAAUACGUAUGGUGCAAGCGUUAUCCGGAUUUACUGGGUGUAAAGGGAGCGUAGACGGCGGCGCAAGUCCGGAGUGAAAGCCCACGGCCCAACC
rnacentral:rRNA from 1 species